rnacentral:tRNA from 1 species
GCCGGAGUGGCGGAAUUGGCAGACGCGCUGCGUUCAGGUCGCAGUGGGAGCAAUCUCGUGGGGGUUCAAAUCCCCCCUCCGGUACCA